rnacentral:sRNA from 1 species
AGCAUAUCCAAGUGCACUGUAUGGCCUCAGCCUACAGAACCCUUAACUCUUAAAUUUAUCAUCUAUUGAACAAUUUCUAGCAUCAAAAUUUGUACUACUUUCAACACCAAACAUCACUAAUUAAUGAAAGAAAAAUACAGAGGAAUUAUUCUAAACUUUCCUGGGGGCCCUACCUACGAUUUUGGGCAGGACGAAUAGCAAGCACCUCAUUUUCUAGUAAGUACUGCUAAGGUUAUUUUGUUUCUAUCCUAAACAAAUAUAUAUAUCCAUAGGACCUCAGAGUUAUGUGGGACUUCCAAUUGUGUAAGCAACUCCAUCGCAUCCUGAAUAAGUGAGAUCUGGGCUAAGCCUUCAUUCCCAAAGGCACAGAACUUCGCAUCCUCAGGCAGACCCUUCAUCUUUUACCAACUCUCAUCAGGAAAUUCUUAUCUCGGCCCAAAUUUUAUCUACUUCUAAAGUUCCUACUUAUCUUUCUUAGAACCAUACAAAACUGCUACAGAUGCCUCUUUCAUAGGACAGAGGGCAAUAUUUGAGGGCAAUAAUCAGUCCUCCUUGAGUUGACUCUUCUCCUGAAUGAACUUCCAAG